rnacentral:rRNA from 1 species
GACGAACGCUGGCGGCGUGCUUAACACAUGCAAGUCGAGCGGUAAGGCCCUUUCGGGGGUACACGAGCGGCGAACGGGUGAGUAACACGUGGGUGACCUGCCCUCAGCUCUGGGAUAAGCCUGGGAAACCGGGUCUAAUACUGGAUAUGACUCCAUGACGCAUGUUGUGGGGUGGAAAGCCUUGUGCGGCUGAGGAUGGGCCCGCGGCCUAUCAGCUUGUUGGUGGGGUGAUGGCCUACCAGGGCGACGACGGGUAGCCGGCCUGAGAGGGCGACCGGCCACACUGGGACUGAGACACGGCCCAGACUCCUACGGGAGGCAGCAGUGGGGAAUCUUGCGCAAUGGGCGAAAGCCCUGACGCAGCGACGCCGCGUGAGGGAUGACGGCCU